AAAUUGAAGAGUUUGAUCAUGGCUCAGAUUGAACGCUGGCGGCAGGCCUAACACAUGCAAGUCGAACGGUAGCACAGAGAGCUUGCUCUCGGGUGACGAGUGGCGGACGGGUGAGUAAUGUCUGGGAAACUGCCUGAUGGAGGGGGAUAACUACUGGAAACGGUGGCUAAUACCGCAUAACGUCGCAAGACCAAAGAGGGGGACCUUCGGGCCUCUUGCCAUCAGAUGUGCCCAGAUGGGAUUAGCUAGUUGGUGAGGUAACGGCUCACCAAGGCGACGAUCCCUAGCUGGUCUGAGAGGAUGACCAGCCACACUGGAACUGAGACACGGUCCAGACUCCUACGGGAGGCAGCAGUGGGGAAUAUUGCACAAUGGGCGCAAGCCUGAUGCAGCCAUGCCGCGUGUAUGAAGAAGGCCUUCGGGUUGUAAAGUACUUUCAGCGGGGAGGAAGGUGUUGUGGUUAAUAACCGCAGCAAUUGACGUUACCC
rnacentral:rRNA from 3 species